rnacentral:lncRNA from 10 species
CGCCCGGUGACUGCGGACGGAUGAAUAGACGCUGCGGGUCACUGCGCUCUCCCCUGGGUAGAACAGAUGGUUUGAAAAGGAAAGAUUUUUUUUUCACAUAUGGGGAAAAAAAAUUCCCAGCCUUGGAAGGAUAUUUGGGUUAGAGGCCGAAGUGCAUCACAGAUCACGCACGCGUCCACACCUCAGAAAACACUCACUCAUUCCUGAGACGCAACGUCUCCGGCACACAGCUCCGCAGCUGGGGGUGACUAAGAGCCCACACCACGCAAGUAAUAAAACGCUCCAAUUUCAUUUAUUUAAUCAUCUGUGUGCUUCAUUUGACAAAUAUUUAUGGAGUGUCUGCUGCUAGCUCAGUGCCUGGUGCCUGGGACUGAAGACCAGAGCCCCCUGGAGACCAAAAGAGCCAGCUCCCAGCUGUGAGCAGAUCGGGUCCAAAGAUCACGGGCUCGGCGGCAGGAACCUGGUUUGGUAUCCGGCUCCUCUGCGGACUUUGAAGUGCUUUACCGAUUCACAUGACAACUGGUAAAACGAAAACAAACACCUUUCCAGGAAUUGUGAAUUCGAGUUCCAGACCCUCUGGGAUUCCGGGAGCGCAGCUGCUAUUUAUGUUAACAGUCAUUGGUCCCAGGCUGGUGAGGUUAGAAUUUCCAAGUAUAAAAGUAAUUUAGUUUCGUUUUAAAUACAUUUUAGGGCCAAAGAAAAGUGGAACGAUUUAAAGAAAAAGAUGAAAUGAAUAAUAGGGCAAGUUGGGAGGUGGCUGUCCUGAGGUUUCAUGGGACAACAUUAAUUAACCUCAUGAAGUGCCUGCAUGGACAACGUGCCCGGUGUGGUUACAAACAAACCAAUCAGCACAGAUCCUGGGUGGAAAGCAGGGCGCAGCCACGGAGGCACAGUAGGGGUGCAGACUUGAAGGUUUUUAGGAGGUAAGCCCCGAGGGCACGAAGCUCCACGGAGAGACUGUUGACCCGCCUGGGAGUGCAGUGCAGUCACAGCAACCUCCAAAAACCCAACUUUGCAAAGAUAUGGCAUCGUCAGAAGAAAUGGGGUGCAAUCUAAUGUUGACAGUGUGGAUGAGAGUGGGACACCUGCCAGUUGUUUGCAUCAGCAGACACUCAGAGUCCAUGGAAAAAAUGAGCCUAGAGGUUUUUAAACCACAACACAAGCAAAAGGCACCUGGUCCCGUUCCUCUUAAGACAGAAGAAAGAGGCGUAAAACCAGCUCCAGGUGCCACCCUUAAGAAAUGUUACAGUGCCGGAUGGGAAGAGUAAACCCUGAACAUCUCUUCUUAAUACUUUACAGACUUCAAGUGUAUUUUAUGGUGACAAAGCAUAUUGAAGACAAAUGAAACUCUACAACCCUGAAAACCAGCCUGAAUUAUUUUGAGAGACAGACAGUGGCUGCAAGGAGAAGCGUCGGGAUUUUCUGGGCUGGCCAUCUCCAGUGUCACUGACCCCGGUCUACCCCUGCAUGUUUGUUUACGGGAAAGGAGUUGAGGAGGAGGAUGUAUGGCUGAGAGCCUGAAAAUAAUCCAGGGCAGGUGGAGCGAGGAGAGGACUUUACUCCUCACACUCAUGUAGGCAUCCUGAAAAGCCACUUUUCUUUCCAAGGUGGGCACGGGCCUUGAGCUUGGAGUGGAGCCAGUUAAAGUUGUCCGCUCUGGGUCGUCAGAUGGAGAUCUUAUCUUGGGUCAUGAAUUGUGGUUUUAGGAGAAAGGCAGAAGCUAAACCCAUCUUCUGUCUGGUGGGGAGGCCCAGCAAAGGGCUCAGAAACACAGCCACAGGCCUCUUGCAGCAGCUGGAUGCACAUUUCAGGAGGUUGCCUGAAAGCAGAAUUGACUUCAGAGAGUAGGGCAGCAGAGCCCAGCCACAGAGUGGUCCCAGGAGCCAGGAAGUGCCACACAGCCCCUCGCUUAUUUUUACUCAGUAUGCCACAGAAGUCCUGACCUGUUAAAAGUGCCCUUUAAGAAUGGCUGGCCCACCCUCUCUCAGAGGGUUCAUGCUGGGGAGAGGGUUCCUGCAUGCCCGCUAAGCUCCAAAUGACAACCCAGGUGUAGAAAGGGCUUAGACUUUAGGGUUCAAACCCAUCCUAGAGUCCGGUCCAAGGCCAGUUACAGCCAAUGGGCAGUGGUAGGUGCAGCCCAGCCCAUUAGCUCAUUCUUGAGCCUCAGAGGGACAGAGCAGCACUAAUGGGUGCACAAAUGGCUAGAAUGUUCACCAACUCCUCGAGAGUGGCAUUGGACAUUUGGGCAAGGGUCUUAUGGAGGCUGAGAGUUGACUGUGGGCUCAUCACAGCUAUUUUGAGGGUCUUGACAGCCCAACUAGCAAACAAUUCUGCAGGGAUGAGAGGUCAGGGCAAAGGGAAAUGGCAUUGUCAAGUGGACAGCCAAAAAGUCCAGGAUGCCCCCAGGUCCUGGGGAACGGCGGGGGAGGAACUCAGGGACUGGAUUACCCACAGGACCUGGUGAGACCCACAGCCACGGGCUGACUUGUGUCCACUCAGAAGCGUAUGUUAAAAUCCUAACCCCCAGUACUUUGGAAUGUGACCUUAUUUGGAAAUAGAGACUUUGAAGAUGAUCAAGUUAAGAUGAAGUCAUGGGGCCGAGAGCGGUGGCUCACGCCCGUAAUCGCAGCACUUCGGGAGGCUGAGGCGGGCAGAUCACGAGGUCAGGAGAUCGAGAUCAUACUGGCUAACACGGUGAAACCCCUUCUCUACUAAAAAUACAAAAAAAAAAAAAUUAGCCGGGCAUGGUGGCGGGCACCUGUAGUCCCAGCUACUCAGGAGGCUGAGGCAGGAGAAUGGCAUGAACCCUGGAGGUGGAGCUUGCAGUGAGCCGAGAUCGUGCCACUGCACUCCAGCCUGGGAGACAGAGCGAGACUCCAUCUCAAAUAAAUAAAUAAAUAAAUAAAGAUGAAGUCAUUAGGGUAGACCCUAAAGCAACAGAGCUAGUGUCCUUGUAAAGAGGGGAAGUCUGGACACAGACACACACCUGCACUAAGGGAAGUGGGUGGGAAACACUGGGAAGAUGCCACAUGACUGCAGUGACGCAGCUGCACGCCAAGUGAUGCCUGGGGCACUGGAAGCCGGGGAGGGUUCCUGCCUGGCCCCUAAGCUCCAAAUGACAACCCAGGCAUAGGAAGGGCCUACACUUUGGGGUUCAAACCUAUCCUGGAGUCUGGUCCGGGGCCAGUUACAGCUAAUGGGCAGUGCUGGGUGCAGCCCAGCCCGUAAGCUCAUUCUUGAGCCCCAGAGGGACAGAGCAGCUCUAAUGGGUGCAAAAAUGGCUGGAAUAUUUCACCAACUCCUUGGGUGGGUGGGUGGGGGGGGGGCAUUGGACAUUUUGGGCAAGGGUCUUCUUGAGGCUGAGAGAGGCCAGGAAGGAGCUUCCCCUGGAGUUGUCUGGGAGUGGGACCCUGCUGACACCGACCUCAACUUUUGACUUCUGGCCUCUAGAGCUGUGAGAGACUAAACACCUGUGGUUUUAAGCCACCUGGUUUGUGUCACUUUGCUGUGGCAGCCACUAGAAACUAAUACACCCAACUAGAUACGUAUCUUUGUCACAGUUACAGGAAUCUUUAUUUUAUCCAAAAGCAAAAGACACUGAACUUUUGUGUACAUUCCAGGCCUGCUGAUUGUAGCUGGUCUAUAAGCUCGUGUCGGAGUCUAUGGUGGUUGAUUUUUGUGUCCCUUUGACUGAGCCACGAGGUAUUUGAUCAAACAUUAUUCCAGGUGUUUCUGUGAGGCUGCUUUUGGAUGAGAUUAACAUGUAAAUCAAUAGAGUCAAGCAAAUCGUUCUCCCCAAUGCAGAUGGGUUUCGUCCAUGCAGCUAGAGGCCUGAAAAGAAGGAAAAGCUGAUCAUCCUCGUGUAAGAGAGAAUCUCUCCUACCCAACGGCCUUCCAGCUGGGAUACUGGCUUUUUCUUGCCUUUAGACUUGAACUGAACAAUUGGCUCUUCCUGGCCUCAGGCUUUGGGACUCAGAAGCACACAUUGACUGUCCUGGGGCUCCAGCUUAUGGACUACCCUGCAGAAAGACUGUGGGACUCGUCAGCCAUCAUCAUCCUGUGAGCCAGUUUUACACAGACACACACACACACAGUCGCACUCUCAUGCUCACACAUACACACUCACACACAAUCACACACUUGCACACACACAGACACUCUUACACACUCAUUCACACACUCACAUGUGCACACACACAGUCUCUCACACACAUCACACACACACACACACACACACACACACACACACACUAUUGGUUCUGUUUCUCUGUAUAACCCUGAUGAAUUCAGGAUCUUAAAGGUUACCUAUUUCAUUGUAAUGCUGUUUUCUAGCACCAGGCUAGUCCUUUUGUCGGCAGAACUGGUAGGCUCACUUUUUUUUUUUUCAGACUGUUUUGUGUUUUAUUUUCUUCCAUUUACAAAAAAGCAUUUCUAAGCCAGGGCAGUGAAGCCUGACGCUACCGUUCACGGUCAGUGAAAUGAGCAUUCGAGGAUGGGACUCAGCCUGUCUGGACAGGUCCCCAGACAAAAAACACAGAGAAUCAAGAACGCAGGCGCUCCCUGUCGGACGCCAGGCCGGGCCCUGUGACAAGGAUCUCAGCGCUGGCGGUGGGGCUGCCCUGCGGGUUCGAGGCCUGGCUCUUCCUGCCCCACUGCCUGGUGUGUAGCCCAGGGGCCGGGCCGCCUGCGCCCCCCGCCGGGGGGCACGCCCGGCCCAGGGUUGGGGGUGUCCGGCUUGCCCCCAGGGGGCCAGCGGGGCCUCUGUUAUCUCGCUCCAGAACCGACAUCGCCAGCCAAGACCUUCCUCGUGGAGCCCUCGGUCUGGCCAAGGACGCUCCUUGGAGUCUGCUUAGACGCACAGCGGGCUCAGCUUUGCCAAAUUCUCCAAGGAGACUUUCCAUGAGGCGCCUCCUGCCAUCUGUGGGCGGCGUUGGGAACUGCGGCCACCGCUGCUUGGGAAUCAGGACGUCCCAGCUCCCAACCGGCGGUCAUUCAUUCCCUCAACACACACUCUGGGCCGCCCGCCUGGCUCCAGGCAGGCCCUCCGGGGACUCGGGAAAUAGGAGUUGUUAAACAUUUCUGAAACAUUCCUCUUCCAUUUAUUCUGUGAUUUUCUUCAGAAACACAAGGCGUGCACGAGUCAGCUUAUCAGCUUAUCCUUCACCCACACGUAGGCUCUUCUUUCCAAUCAAUUUUAUCUUUGUUUUUUUCUAAGAAAAUUUUAGGGAUUUUACUUGUUUUUGUUUUGUUUUUGGGUUUUUUUGUGUGUUUUGUUGUUGUUAUUUUGUUUUUUUUUUUUUUUGGUGGGGGGUUGGCUUGGUUUGGUUUUUGCUUCAUUUUUUAAUUUUAGGGAUUUUUAAAAAGCCAGCAUUCCUUAAUCUUCUGAUUGUUGUGUGACUGUUGUAUAAUAUUGAGAAAUACAUUCCUGUCAUCCACAACUAACAACCAUUAAUAAUGUGUCGUAUUGUUUACUUUUUUGUUUUUAACUAAAUUUUGCUUUGGGGAAGUAUCCAUGACGAUACAAUAUAGCUGUGAGAUAUUUCCUGUACCUGCUACGUAACACCCCUUCAUGUAAAACGCAGAGCAUUUGGUUUAUCCACAUCCCCCCGCCCCCCGCCCAUGCAUAUUAGUGGUUUCCAGUGCUAAAGGGACAGCGCCCCCCACGUGCAUUUCUCCAGGUACUGAGGCAGGAGAAUAGGGGCUGGAGGCAGGGGACCAAAGGCUGUUUCACUCAGACUUCCUACAACUAAAUUGAAAGGAAAACCCUAACUUUCCACUCCUAAGUAACAAAAGGACCAGAGGCUAUUCCCUUUCUAAACCCCCCCACCUUUUCCUCGAGGCAAAUGGGAAAUUGGCUGUCCGCAACCAAUCAGACUGAUUGUGGGUGGAGUCUUCGUUUGCACCUCUGUACCUUCGCUCCAGUCUCUGAACGGUUGCUGUCCACAACGAAUCAGACUGAUUGCGGGCUCAGCCUUCGUUUGCAUAGAAGUAUAACUUUGUAACUUCACCCUAGCCUCUGACUGGUUGCUUUUGGCACCUUCAUUUACAUGAGGUGAGCAUGAUGUGGCCAAUUGGAAACUUCUAGGGGAUAUUUGGACCCAAGAAGAUCCUGUAUCCAGGCCCUUGAGCCGCUGCUCGGGUCCGCUCCCAUACUGUGGAGUGUACUUUGGUUUUCAAUAAAUUCCUGCUUUCGUUCUUUUGCUGCUUCAUUCUUUCUUUGCUUUGUUGGGCGUUUUGUCCAAUUCUUUGUUCAAAAUGCCAAGAACCUGGACAAGUUGCAGUUAUGACCCUCGACCGGUGAUAGUAGCACUCGCUCCUAACAGCUUGGCUGCAGUAAGCCUAGGCUUCCAGGGAGAGCCUCUGCACCUGCUGCUGUGCUGCUUGAGUUCUCUCAGACAAGGAAGCAUGAAAAGGGCUGCCUUUUUCAAACAGCAGGGGAAGGAAAACACAGUGAUAACAAAUCCAAAUAUUAUUUCAAUUGAGAUCUUAUCAUAU